rnacentral:rRNA from 1 species
UACGAAGGGGGCUAGCGUUGUUCGGAUUUACUGGGCGUAAAGCGCACGUAGGCGGGUCGUUAAGUCAGGGGUGAAAUCCCGGAGCUCAACUCCGGAACUGCCUUUGAUACUGGCGACCUUGAGGCUGGAAGAGGUUAGUGGAAUUCCCAGUGUAGAGGUGAAAUUCGUAGAUAUUGGGAAGAACACCAGUGGCGAAGGCGGCUAACUGGUCCAGAUCUGACGCUGAGGUGCGAAAUCGUGGGGAGCAAACAGG